UACAGAGGGGGCGAGCGUUGUUCGGAAUUACUGGGCGUAAAGGGCGCGUAGGCGGCCUGUUAAGUCGAACGUGAAAUCCCCGGGCUCAACCCGGGAACUGCGUCCGAGACUGGUAGGCUCGAAUCCGGGAGAGGGAUGUGGAAUUCCAGGUGUAGCGGUGAAAUGCGUAGAUAUCUGGAGGAACACCGGUGGCGAAGGCGGCAUCCUGGACCGGCAUUGACGCUGAGGCGCGAAAGCCAGGGGAGCAAACGGGAUUAGAUACCCGGGUAGU
rnacentral:rRNA from 1 species